CCUACGGGGGACUGCAGUAGGGAAUAUUGCACAAUGAGGGAAAGCCUGAUGCAGCGACGCCGCGUGAGUGAAGAAGUAUUUCGGUAUGUAAAGCUCUGUCAGCAGGGAAGAAAUCUCGACCUUUGGGUCGCCAGACGAUACCUGGCUCAGACGCACCGGCUAAAUGCGUGCCAGGAGCCGCGGUACGACGUAGGGGGCAAGCGUUAUCCGGAUUUAGUGGGUGUAAAGGGAGCGUAGACGGCAGCACAAGUCUGAAGUGAAAUGCCGGGGCCUAACCCCGGAACUGCUUUGGAAACUGUGAAGCUAGAGUGCAGGAGAGGUAAGUGGAAUUCCUAGUGUAGCGGUGAAAUGCGUAGAUAUUAGGAGGAACACCAGUGGCGAAGGCGGCUUACUGGAUUGUAACUGACGUUGAGGCUCGAAAGCGUGGGGAGCAAACAGGAUUAGAUACCCGGGUAGUC
rnacentral:rRNA from 1 species